rnacentral:lncRNA from 1 species
AUGCUGUGUCCUGUCCAUGCUCUGAGACUGGCCAUUCCCUUAGGCAGCCUCCUGAAAAGUCUGAACAUUGGGUGAAGAGGAAGAGGAGGAGGAAGGUAAACUGCCUCGAAGAGAGAGCUUGAGACCAAAGAGGAAAAGAACCAGAGAUGUUAUCAAUGAGGAUGACCCAGAACCUGAACCAGAGGAUGAAGCAACAAGGAAGGCAAGAGAAAAAGAGAGGAGGAGGAGGCUAAAGAGAGGAGCGUAAGUUAGUUCUGAUAUCCUUUCAAAAGCUCCAGUGCUGAAGAAGAUCACUCCUUUUAGAUACUCUUUGA